rnacentral:rRNA from 1 species
GUACGGGGGGGGCAAGCGUUGUUCGGAAUUACUGGGCGUAAAGGGCUCGUAGGUGGCCAACUAAGUCAGACGUGAAAUCCCUCGGCUUAACCGGGGAACUGCGUCUGAUACUGGAUGGCUUGAGUUCGGGAGAGGGAUGCGGAAUUCCAGGUGUAGCGGUGAAAUGCGCAGAUAUCAGGAGGAACACCAGCGGCGAAGGCGGCGCUCUGGGCCGGUACUGACACUGAGGAGCGAAAGCGUGGGGAGCAAAAGGG